UACGUAGGGGGCUAGCGUUGUCCGGAAUCAUUGGGCGUAAAGAGCGUGUAGGCGGUCCGGUAAGUCCGUUGUGAAAGUCAGGGGCUCAACCCUUGAAUGCCGGCGGAUACUGUCGGGCUAGAGUCCGGAAGAGGCAAGUGGAAUUCCCGGUGUAGCGGUGAAAUGCGCAGAUAUCGGGAGGAACACCGGUGGCGAAGGCGGGUCUCUGGGCCGAUACUGACGCUGAGGUGCGAAAGCGUGGGGAGCAAACAGG
rnacentral:rRNA from 1 species